UACAAUAUAUUUGAAAAUAUGGCUGUAUAACAACAACAUCGGCAUAUUUACAUAUUUAACCAUGUCCAUGAUAUUCCAAGUCAAUUUUCUCGUGAGCUCACAAAUCAAUUAAAAAUCGUUUCACGAAAUCGACACACGCUAACAGUACGUAGAUGGUCAAGCUUUUUAGGGUAGUGCUGGACUUCUCUAUGGAGAUGCAAGACACCACUAGCUGGGAUGUGCACCCGCGUGGUAUAGAUCCGCGGCCCGCAUGGUAGAUCCGCGGCCAGUAAAAAUCUCUGAACAACAAACACCACGUUGAGCACAACAUAUGAGCAGAGUAUAUGCAAGUAAAAUCUCUACCGGAUGUCUAUACGUAUAUUUACAAGUCGAAUGUGAUAAUUACAUUUAAUGUCCCACAAUUUUUAGCGACAAUUCGAAAUGCAGAUGUGUUAAAUGAAAUUGGAAUGGCUAGGCAACGAUUUGCAUCGCGAAUUGGCUUUAAAAUUGACCCUUGGGACAUCGCAUUAAGGGUUUCUCGCGUCUGACGUCAUUAUGAAAAAGGUCUGUUGUACAGGAUGUCUCAAGUAUACGUUUAGAAAUUCACCUUAUUUCAAUUUGAAUGACUGAGUCCUGUACUGCUUGUAGCCUUGACAAACCAUUAUAUAAUCAUACUAAGGGCCUGUUCAUAUCGGCAAAAGUUAUCCCGGUUAACGAGAGAACUUUUCGACUAGCCAAAUACUUUUGUUCUGUUCAUAUGGAGAAAUAUUAACCCACUUACCGGGAAAAGUUUCCGGCUGUGACGUAGCAAUGAACAUCAAUUGAAUUGAAAAGUUGCUGACACGACAAAAAGUUAUCCCGCGCUAAGCGGGAAAGUUGUGUUCAUAUGGGAAAAACAUUAUCCCGGUCACCGAGAUCUCGCCUGUCAACAAGCGAGAUCUCGGUACACGGGAAAACUUUUCGUCUCAUAUGAACGCAAUGUAACUUUUCAUAUUAUUU